UGACGGUAGCUUACCAGAAAGGGACGGCUAACUACGUGCCAGCAGCCGCGGUAAUACGUAGGUCCCGAGCGUUGUCCGGAUUUAUUGGGCGUAAAGGGAGCGCAGGCGGUCAGGAAAGUCCGGAGUAAAAGGCUAUGGCUCAACCAUAGUGUGCUCUGGAAACUGUCUGACUUGAGUGCAGAAGGGGAGAGUGGAAUUCCAUGUGUAGCGGUGAAAUGCGUAGAUAUAUGGAGGAACACCAGUGGCGAAAGCGGCUCUCUGGUCUGUCACUGACGCUGAGGCUCGAAAGCGUGGGUAGCGAACAGGAUUAGAUACCCUGGUAGUCCACGCCGUAAACGAUGAGUGCUAGGUGUUAGGCCCUUUCCGGGGCUUAGUGCCGGAGCUAACGCAAUAAGCACUCCGCCUGGGGAGUACGACCGCAAGGUUGAAACUCAAAGGAAUUGACGGGGGCCCGCACAAGCGGUGGAGCAUGUGGUUUAAUUCGAAGCAACGCGAA
rnacentral:rRNA from 1 species